CCCUUAGAUGUCCGGGGCUGCACGCGCGCUACACUGAAGGAAUCAGCGUGCUAAAACCAUUGUCGAAAGGCAUUGGUAAACCCAUUAAAAUCCUACGUGAUUGGGAUCGGGAAUUGCAAUUAUUUCCCUUGAACGAGGAAUUCCCAGUAAGUGUGGGUCAUAAGCUCGCGUUGAUUACGUCCCUGCCCUUUGUACACACCGCCCGUCGCUGCCCGGGACUGAGCCGUUUCGAGAAAAGCGGGGACUGCUGUUGUCGGGGCUUUCGGGCCUUGGCUUCGGUGGAAACCGCUUUAAUCGCAGUGGCUUGAACCGGGCAAAAGUCGUAACA
rnacentral:rRNA from 1 species